rnacentral:ribozyme from 1 species
UCGGGAAAUUAUUCGAAGUCGAUUGGACUUACAUUUUAGUCGCUUAU